rnacentral:rRNA from 1 species
UGGCGGACGGGUGAGUAACGCGUGGGUAACCUGCCUCACACUGGGGGACAACAGUUAGAAAUGACUGCUAAUACCGCAUAAGCGCACAGGACCGCAUGGUCCGGUGUGAAAAACUCCGGUGGUGUGAGAUGGACCCGCGUUUGAUUAGCUAGUUGGUGGGGUAACGGCCUACCAAGGCGACGAUCAAUAGCCGACCUGAGAGGGUGACCGGCCACACUGGGACUGAGACACGGCCCAA